rnacentral:tRNA from 2 species
GGAGAGGUGGCAGAGUGGUUUAAUGCUACGGUCUUGAAAACCGUCGUAGGGCAACCUACCGUGAGUUCGAAUCUCACCCUCUCCG